GAUGAACGCUGGCGGCGUGCCUAAUACAUGCAAGUCGAGCGAACAGACGAGGAGCUUGCUCCUCUGAUGUUAGCGGCGGACGGGUGAGUAACACGUGGAUAACCUACCUAUAAGACUGGGAUAACUUCGGGAAACCGGAGCUAAUACCGGAUAACAUGUUGAACCGCAUGGUUCAACAGUGAAAGACGGUCUUGCUGUCACUUAUAGAUGGAUCCGCGCCGCAUUAGCUAGUUGGUAAGGUAACGGCUUACCAAGGCAACGAUGCGUAGCCGACCUGAGAGGGUGGUCGGCCACACUGGAACUUAGACACGGUCCAGACUCCUACGGGAGGCAGCAGUAGGGAAUCUUCCGCAAUGGGCGAAAGCCUGACGGAGCAACGCCGCGUGAGUGAAGAAGGUCUUCGGAUCGUAAAACUCUGUUAUUAGGGAAGAACAAAUGUGUAAGUAACUAUGCACGUCUUGACGGUACCUAAUCAGAAAGCCACGGCUAACUACGUG
rnacentral:rRNA from 1 species